rnacentral:rRNA from 1 species
UUAGCCUACGGGAGGCAGCAGUGGGGGAUAUUGCACAAUGGGGGAAACCCUGAUGCAGCGACGCCGCGUGGGUGAAGAAGCGCCUCGGCGCGUAAAGCCCUGUCAGCAGGGAAGAAAAUGACGGUACCUGAAGAAGAAGCCCCGGCUAACUACGUGCCAGCAGCCGCGGUAAUACGUAGGGGGCAAGCGUUAUCCGGAUUUACUGGGUGUAAAGGGGGCGCAGACGGCGAUGCAAGCCAGGAGUGAAAGCCCGGGGCCCAACCCCGGGACUGCUCUUGGAACUGCGCGGACAGAGUGCAGGAGGG